rnacentral:rRNA from 1 species
AUUGAACGCUGGCGGCAGGCCUAACACAUGCAAGUCGAGCGGAUGAAGGGAGCUUGCUCCUGGAUUCAGCGGCGGACGGGUGAGUAAUGCCUAGGAAUCUGCCUGGUAGUGGGGGAUAACGUCCGGAAACGGGCGCUAAUACCGCAUACGUCCUGAGGGAGAAAGUGGGGGAUCUUCGGACCUCACGCUAUCAGAUGAGCCUAGGUCGGAUUAGCUAGUUGGUGGGGUAAAGGCCUACCAAGGCGACGAUCCGUAACUGGUCUGAGAGGAUGAUCAGUCACACGGGAAGUGAGCCAGGGUCCAGACUCCUACGGGAGCCAGCAGUGGGGAAUUUUGGACAAGGGGCGAAGGCUUGACCCGCCCAUGCCGGUGGUGGGAAGAGGGUUUUUGUAUUUUAAACCUCUUAAGGUGGGAAGAAGAGAAAAAAAGUUAAUACCUUGCUGUUUUGACGCCACCAAAAAAAUAAGCACCGCCUAACUUCGCC